CAGCUGUGAUGAAACGUACGAGUGCCAUCUGACUCUUGAUCACCAUGCGGAUACUCAGAGGCUGUUUCUGAGCUG
rnacentral:snoRNA from 1 species